rnacentral:rRNA from 1 species
CCAAGGGUUGGGCUGUUCGCCCAUUAAAGCGGUACGCGAGCUGGGUUCAGAACGUCGUGAGACAGUUCGGUCCCUAUCCGUCGUGGGCGUAGGAAAUUUGAGAGGAGCUGUCCUUAGUACGAGAGGACCGGGAUGGACAUACCUCUGGUGUACCAGUUGUCGUGCCAACGGCAUAGCUGGGUAGCUAUGUAUGGACGGGAUAAGUGCUGAAAGCAUCUAAGCAUGAAGCCCCCCUCGAGAUGAGAUUUCCCAACUUCGGUUAUAAGAUCCCUCAAAGAUGAUGAGGUGAAUAGGUUCGAGGUGGAAGCGUAGCGAUACGUGGAGCUGACGAAUACUAAUCGAUCGAAGACUUAAUCAACAU